UAUAUACUUUUGUUCAGGUAGACUGCCAGACUUAUAAUUUGUUUAUAUAUAUAUAUAUAUAUAUAUAUAUAUGUAUAUAUAUAAACAAAUUAUAAGUCUGGCAGUCUACCUGAACAAAAGUAUAAA